GCCGUCUCUGCGACGACGGGUAGCCGGCCUGAGAGGGCGACCGGCCACACUGGGACUGAGACACGGCCCAGACUCCUACGGGAGGCAGCAGUGGGGAAUAUUGCACAAUGGGCGAAAGCCUGAUGCAGCGACGCCGCGUGAGGGAUGACGGCCUUCGGGUUGUAAACCUCUUUCAGCAGGGAAGAAGCGCAAGUGACGGUACCUGCAGAAGAAGCGCCGGCUAACUACGUGCCAGCAGCCGCGGUAAUACGUAGGGCGCAAGCGUUGUCCGGAAUUAUUGGGCGUAAAGAGCUCGUAGGCGGCUUGUCACGUCGGAUGUGAAAGCCCGGGGCUUAACCCCGGGUCUGCAUUCGAUACGGGCUAGCUAGAGUGUGGUAGGGGAGAUCGGAAUUCCUGGUGUAGCGGUGAAAUGCGCAGAUAUCAGGAGGAACACCGGUGGCGAAGGCGGAUCUCUGGGCCAUUACUGACGCUGAGGAGCGAAAGCGUGGGGAGCGAACAGGAUUAGAUACCCUGGUAGUCCACGCCGUAAACGUUGGGAACUAGGUGUUGGCGACAUUCCACGUCGUCGGUGCCGCAGCUAACGCAUUAAGUUCCCCGCCUGGGGAGUACGG
rnacentral:rRNA from 1 species